rnacentral:rRNA from 1 species
UGGGGAAUAUUGGACAAUGGGCGAAAGCCUGAUCCAGCCAUGCCGCGUGUGUGAAGAAGGCCUUUUGGUUGUAAAGCACUUUAAGCGAGGAGGAGGCUACUUGGAUUAAUACUCUAGGAUAGUGGACGUUACUCGCAGAAUAAGCACCGGCUAACUCUGUGCCAGCAGCCGCGGUAAUACAGAGGGUGCGAGCGUUAAUCGGAUUUACUGGGCGUAAAGCGUGCGUAGGCGGCUUUUUAAGUCGGAUGUGAAAUCCCUGAGCUUAACUUAGGAAUUGCAUUCGAUACUGGGAAGCUAGAGUAUGGGAGAGGAUGGUAGAAUUCCAGGUGGAGCGGUGAAAUGCGUAGAGAUCUGGGGGAAUACCGAUGGCGAAGGCAGCCAUCUGGCCUAAUACUGACGCUGAGGUACGAAAGCAUGGGGAGCAAACAGG